AUCAUAGAGUCAGAACUAUGAGGGUACCAUGGAAGUCACUUACUACAUCUCUUUUGUUUUGCAGAAGAGAAAACCAAAUCCUAGAGAAGGAAAAGGAUUUGUCCAAGGCAUGGAAGAGUCAUUGAAGUCCAGCAGCAGGACAAAAAUCAGGAUGACUGACAAUGACUCAGGAGGCAGUAGAGAUCUUGAUGUGGUCCACAGUGCCUGA
rnacentral:lncRNA from 1 species